GAAUAAUAAUUAAGUGGAGUCGCUGGCCAUGAACCGCGUAGAGCAUAUUAUUUUCUCUCUCUCUCUCUCUCUCUCUCUCUUCGCAGUGGGGAAUGGUCCGUUGGGAUCCAGUCGAUUCGCCAAGUAAAUGUAUCCUCAAAUGCUGCACAUAAUUUAACAAAGUGAAUUGUACCGCAGCAUCCAGUGGCAGCAGCGGCACCAGCAACAACAUCUGUGGCAAUGGCAAUAAUAAUAGCUGGGGAACAACAACAGAAACAUUUCGACUUCAUUUUGUUGUGGUUUUCUUUUGUACAUAAAACUUUUUCGGGCACUACAAUUUUUAAUGCACUCUCUGACAUUGCCCCGGCCUGAGAGUAGGCGGUGGUCGGGUCGCUGGAGGGGGCUGGGCAGGACAGGGCCGAGGAGAACAAGCAAAUGAAACUCAAGUGCAUGUAGCACGGGCCUGGCCAAG
rnacentral:lncRNA from 1 species